CAUUUCAGGAUCACUCAUUGCAACAUCCUAAUCAUUACGAUGUCGUGGUUUCGUCAGAGGUCAUAGAACACGUGCUAGAUCAGGAAUUGUUUAUUAAGAGUUGUAUGAACGCUCUUAAACCCGGCGGCAAAAUAGUCACAACGGCACCAAGUAAAACUUUACUUGCAAAACUUCACCUCAUAAUACUUCAGGAAGAUAUUUUGAAAAUACUACCAAAGGGCUUACAUGAAUACGAUAAGUUUAUAACACCAGAAGCAUUGACACACAUUUUAGAACGCUAUAAUUGCAAGGUAGAACGAGUACGCGGAAGUAUGUAUAACCCUUGGUCAAACAAAUGGAAAUGGAUCAACUAUAGCAUGGCGUUUUAUGUGCUUCAAGCAGUCAAAUUGAAUUAAUAAUUUAUAUUUACGUAAAAUAUAUUUUCAAUCAAUGGA